AGGAAAUCUGUAAGCACCUAAACAAGGACCAGCAGACUCCGGGACAAACACAAUGUCACCAACGUGCUCCUUCACGUCUGGCCACAGAAUCACCACGGAUAUCUAAAAGCAUCCUAAUGCCGGCAAGGCCCCAAGCUGAACCUUCCAACUAGAGAGGCUGGGCGGCCAAGAGGCCUAUUCAAGUCACCGCUUCCCACUAAGCCGAAAGAACUGUGCAGCGCUUUGGCGUCCGUAGUGGUCCCCGCCUACCAGUGGGCAGGGCUGCCAGGAAGACAAAGACAGACCUAAAGAAAUAAAGAAACUUGUUUCCUCUGCACAUCUGGAUAUAAUGUGAACAACUGUGCCACCCUGGACAUAUUUAUUUUUAUUUUCAUGUUAGACAUUCAGAAAAAUUUGAUUUUUACGUUUUCUUUUCUACGGAGUACAUCUGUACAAUGAAUGCAUGUAUAUAAAAAUAUACGUAAAACCCUGAAA